rnacentral:rRNA from 1 species
UACGGGGGGGGCAAGCGUUGUUCGGAAUUACUGGGCGUAAAGGGCGCGUAGGCGGCCUUCUAAGUCGGACGUGAAAUCCCUCGGCUUAACCGAGGAACUGCGUCCGAUACUGAAAGGCUUGAAUCCGGGAGAGGGAUGUGGAAUUCCAGGUGUAGCGGUGAAAUGCGUAGAUAUCUGGAGGAACACCGGUGGCGAAGGCGGCAUCCUGGACCGAUGUACGCUGAGGCGCGAAAGCUAGGGGAGCAAACGGG